ACCAAUGUAGAUCCAUCUUAACUCCGGAUCUAUUAUGCACAGAGAGGGAUCAAGUCCCUCAAAGUAAAAACUUUUUUUAGAUUGAAAAAACUUGAGAAAAAGUUUGCAUCUCAAGGGAUUUUGAUCCCUCUGGGCGCAUGAUAGAUCUGGACUUAAAAUGGAUCUACAUUGGU
rnacentral:pre_miRNA from 1 species